rnacentral:rRNA from 1 species
GUAUGAACGCUAGCUACAGGCUUAACACAUGCAAGUCGAGGGGCAGCAUGGUCUUAGCUUGCUAAGGCCGAUGGCGACCGGCGCACGGGUGAGUAACACGUAUCCAACCUGCCGUCUACUCUUGGACAGCCUUCUGAAAGGAAGAUUAAUACAAGAUGGCAUCAUGAGUCCGCAUGUUCACAUGAUUAAAGGUAUUCCGGUAGACGAUGGGGAUGCGUUCCAUUAGAUAGUAGGCGGGGUAACGGCCCACCUAGUCUUCGAUGGGUAGGGGUUCUGAGAGGAAGGUCCCCCACAUUGGAACUGAGACACGGUCCAAACUCCUACGGGAGGCAGCAGUGAGGAAUAUUGGUCAAUGGGCGAGAGCCUGAACCAGCCAAGUAGCGUGAAGGAUGACUGCCCUAUGGGUUGUAAACUUCUUUUAUAAAGGAAUAAAGUCGGGUAUGGAUACCCGUUUGCAUGUACUUUAUGAAUAAGGAUCGGCUAACUCCGUGCCAGCAGCCGCGGUAAUACGGAGGAUCCGAGCGUUAUCCGGAUUUAUUGGGUUUAAAGGGAGCGUAGAUGGAUGUUUAAGUCAGUUGUGAAAGUUUGCGGCUCAACCGUAAAAUUGCAGUUGAUACUGGAUAUCUUGAGUGCAGUUGAGGCAGGUGGAAUUCGUGGUGUAGCGGUGAAAUGCUUAGAUAUCACGAAGAACUCCGAUUGCGAAGGCAGCCUGCUAAGCUGCAACUGACAUUGAGGCUCGAAAGUGUGGGUAUCAAACAGGAUUAGAUACCCUGGUAGUCCACACGGUAAACGAUGAAUACUCGCUGUUUGCGAUAUACUGCAAGCGGCCAAGCGAAAGCGUUAAGUAUUCCACCUGGGGAGUACGCCGGCAACGGUGAAACUCAAAGGAAUUGACGGGGGCCCGCACAAGCGGAGGAACAUGUGGUUUAAUUCGAUGAUACGCGAGGAACCUUACCCGGGCUUAAAUUGCAGAUGAAUUACGGUGAAAGCCGUAAGCCGCAAGGCAUCUGUGAAGGUGCUGCAUGGUUGUCGUCAGCUCGUGCCGUGAGGUGUCGGCUUAAGUGCCAUAACGAGCGCAACCCUUGUUGUCAGUUACUAACAGGUUCCGCUGAGGACUCUGACAAGACUGCCAUCGUAAGAUGUGAGGAAGGUGGGGAUGACGUCAAAUCAGCACGGCCCUUACGUCCGGGGCUACACACGUGUUACAAUGGGGGGUACAGAGGGCCGCUACCACGCGAGUGGAUGCCAAUCCCCAAAACCUCUCUCAGUUCGGACUGGAGUCUGCAACCCGACUCCACGAAGCUGGAUUCGCUAGUAAUCGCGCAUCAGCCACGGCGCGGUGAAUACGUUCCCGGGCCUUGUACACACCGCCCGUCAAGCCAUGGGAGCCGGGGGUACCUGAAGUGCGUAACCGCGAGGAGCGCCCUAGGGUAAAACUGG